rnacentral:lncRNA from 10 species
AAUCAGAAUCUUAAGAAGGGGAGCAUGGCGAGACGUUAGUUAAAAGGUAUGAAGUUACAAUAGCUAGGAAGAACCAGUUCUGGUAUUCUAUUCUGCAGUAGGGUGUGUAUAGUUAACAAUAAUGCAUAUUUCAAAAUAGCUAGAAGAGAGAAUUUUGAAUAUUCUCAUCACAAAGAAAUAGUAAAGUUUUGAGGUAAUAGAUGGGCUAAUUAUCCUGAUUUGAUCAUCACACAAUGUAUACAUGUAUUGAAACGUCACAUUGUACCCCAAAAAUAUAUACAAUUAUUAUGCGUCAAUUAAAAAUAAAAUGAAACUAAAAAAAACCUUAAAAGAGAGAGACAAAGGCAAUAAAAAUGGGCUUUGGAAUUUGGGCAUAAAUAUAGAGUAAAUUGAGGCAGAAAAAUUUGUAACAUCUAAACAAGAUAAAAUCAAGAAGAGUUAGAAUUUAGAAAUUGAUAAAAUGUAAAAGACACUGUGGAAUCUGAAACCCCACAAUGAAAUUGGAGAUCUUGCUGCUUCUACUUGUAUGCAAAAAGAAAAAAGAAAGUAUGUAACAAUACAUGAACUUUGAGUUUCUGUUAUGAGAAGCUGAUGAUUACUGUUCUGUAUAAACUGUAAUUGGUACUUUCAUGGGCCAAGAAUCAACAUUAAAAAAUAAAUUGAAAAUGCAGAAUGGUCACAUUUAUUUGUGCCUCAAAUUGAUGAAAUGUUCUCUUAAUUUUUGCCUGUUGAUACUUGCAGUGUGGGUUUCGAUACUCAUCUCCUUUCCUUUCAGUGCCCUCGUAUGCUUGAUUUCAUUAAUGCUAUAAAUAUGCAUUCAUAUAUUGGAAAUAGAAGAGGGUGUGGAGGAAAGACAGCAGUGAAUUUGGGUAAUCAGCAUGAUAAGAAGCCACAGGCUGCUUUGUCUACAAGGAAAGGAAAGAGCCAAGGUCCAGGCACUGCUCCACAGGGAACACAGAACAGAGAGAGUAGUGAAUGAUACUUUGUCUUGUGAAAAAUUAGAGAGUCAAGUUGUUAAAAGAGGGGGAUAUGGGGAAGGAGGACAUUUCUCACAUCCAUCAGACAAUUACUUGUUUAUUCAUUUGUUUAGAAAUUCACGUGUUUGUUAGUGAUGAGAUUAAGAAAGAAAAUAAAAGACUCUAGAAUUUAACACAUGAUUGGUCUUAAAUCAGCCAAUAUUCCUGUCUCCUUCACUGUGAUCUCUGAUGUACCUGCCUGGGGUAGGCUGAAUAAUACCCUGCACUCCUCCCUCCAAAAGAGGCCAAAAUCCUAAUUCCUGGAACCUAUGAAUACAGUAACUUUCAUAGCAAAAGUAACUUUGCAAAAUAGAUUAAAUAAGAAUCUUUAGAAGAGGAGAUUACCCCUUACCCGGGAUUAUCCAGGUGGGCCCAAGGUCAUCAGAAGGGCCUUUAUAAGAGGGAGACAGGAGUUCGAGGGGCAAUGUGAUGAUAGAAACAGUCAGUGACAGAAUGUGGGGACACUACACAGAUGGCGUUGAAGACAGUGGAAGGGACCACGGGCCAAGGAGUCUGGUGGUCUCUAGAAACUACCAAAGGCAAGGAAACAUUUUUUUUUUCUAGAGCCUCCAGAAAUCAGCCCUGAUAACACCUUGACUUCAGCCCAGAGAGACUGAUUUUGAACCUCUGAGCUCAGAACUGUAAGAGAACAAACUUGUGUGGUAUUAAGCCACUAAAUUUGUGGUAAUUUGUUACAGCAGCCAUAGAGAACUAAUACAAUAUUGCAAACUGUAUUGUAGGAAAUGAAUAACAUAUUUGCAAACAGCAGAAAUAAUGGAUUGUGUUAUAACAAGAGGUAGAAUUAAUUCAGACAGCUACUAUGUGCUAAGCAAUAUGCUAAUACCAUAUCAAUGAUCACAGC